CGGAGGGGGGGUGAAAGGUGUCGGAGGCAUCACCCGAAAGAAAACAUGUCAACAGAAUAAAAUAUUAACCAAUGACAGAGGCAAGGCCUCGGGAGCCCUCCCCUCUCCAGGCCCGGCUCCUAGCUGAUGGGGAGGGAGGGGGAGAGGGAGGGGGCACGUUCCCCCAGCGCAGGAACUGUUGGCAGAGGCACCCGGAGUGAGUCUGGCCAAGCGGCCAGGAGGAAAGGCGCCCCACGGAAUGCGCCAGCGCGCGAGCGACCAGGGUGCAGGCCGGGCGAGGGAUGGAGAUCAGAGAGAGGGCGGAGGCCUGCGGACCAGGAUCCGGAUGGGGGGGCACUACCCUGGUUCUCCAGAAAGCCCUUGAAUACACCCACGGAGAGGAUCUAUCACCUAGUGGAAAAGGAAGCGGCAGGAACCAUUCCUAGGACUGGAGAAGAGACGCCGGCAACGAGCCAUCUUUGCUCGGAGUCCGGGUUUUUUGGGUUGUGGGGAUGAGUGUUUGGCCUUGAACAGGUGCUUGGAAAGGGUCCCUCUCCCCAGAGCGCACCCCACCCCCACUCGGUGUAUAUUUUGAACGCUAGUGCAGGUGUCUCUUUCCACACGUGUUUUCUCCCCCCCCAUCACUUUAUUCUCAGGUGAAGUUUUUAGAAAUUUCAUCCCUUCACACAGGCCUCGGGACUUUGGAGCUACUCCCGAGGAGACCCGUUGUAAGCUUAUUGGGCCUUGGUGCCCAAAAGGCCUGCGAACAAAAGGCCAGCCGGUGGGUGUCACGUGUCUAAAGACUGGCGAGUCCUCUGCACGUGAGAACUCUGUUAUCUUGUUCGGAGGCCUACCAGUGUGUUCUUUCUGCGGGUGUACAUAGUGGAUGCUUCCCAGCACAACACCACAUUCGAAUUAGUAUUUAUUAUUUGCUGAAACCAGUACAGCAUGGUGUGGCUUUUCUGCAUAGCACAAGCGACUGACAGGUCACUGUCCCGAUGAGCUUACAAUAAACAUAUUAAGGAGUUCAAAUAUGCUAACCUAUUCCACGUCUAUUCUGCAUCUAUAGUGCGGCAUUCUUGGGGAAAGCUUACGUUAGAAUCGCACUGUUCUGGGAGUAGUUUACUUCCGAGAAAAUGCAAUUCAGGUGUUAGUAAAUGUCACAGCUUCGUCGCGAAAGAAACUGGCGAAGAAAUUCUGCUUUAGGCUGAAAUCCCCUUGGAUUUGGCUGCAAAUCCCCUUGGAGUGCAACGCGUUAGUCCUACACAGAGUAGACCAAUUGCAAAAUAACAGGCAUAAAUUUUAUCGGGUCUACACUGAGUAUAUAACCCGAUAGAAUGUAUUUCUGAGUAGACCAUGCGUGGACGCGUUCUGUGGAUCAGGCCACUUGCUGGGAAUAAUCCUGGGCUUCGGGAAGACCCAGUUUAUCACGCUUACCCUGGGGUAAAUCGCACUGAGCGCAAGGUGACUUACUUCUGAGUAAAUAUCAUUGAAGACAGCAGGCUUACACCUUCCGUUAGCUGACUAGGCGCGAGCCGGUUUCAGAAGUUCACCCCUCAAGUGGUCUAGGGCCAAAACUGUUCCCCUUUCCCGCCCGCCCCCUACAAAGAGGGAUAUUUUGAAAGUGGGGGUGAACAGGGACACCGUGAAUAUAAUUAUUCCAUUUAAUCCAUCAAAGGGCUGCUCCUUUCCUCUUUUUUUCCCUUUCCUGCCCCCCAAAUUAUAGUUUCUUAUGACAUCCAUUCCUUUUCCAAAACCCCGAGCGCGAUGUUCCACUCCCCCCCCCCCGCGAUUUAAUUUCAGGGAGGAAGAAGGGAGGGGGGAAGGGAGAGCCAGAGAGAGGGAGGGAGAGAAACCCUUUGAAGAGAUUCGGGUAGGGCCCACCCAGAGAAUGGAGAGAGGGCCAUGCGCUCCCCCCCCCUCCAGCGGACCACGAGCUGCCUGGACCACGAGCAGAUCUCGCGGCUUCCCAAUCCUUGGGGUAGGGGUGGGGCGCACAGAUAACGCGGAGGAGGCAUGCGGGGGGGGGGUCUGAGAAAAAUGGAGGCAAGCCGGUGCGCAUCGCCGCUUUAAGACUUCGCUUCCUAGCCCAGUCUCGGCCUCCGGGACCGCGCGGAGAUGGAAAGAUUCAGCCCGGGCAAUGGAAGUAAUAGCGGAGCGAAUCGGACCCUCUGCAAAACACGGCCAAAGCAGCCUCGGGCUGUUACGGAGAAAGGGAGAACCUACAAACGAGCCCGAUUCUAGCUUCGCUUCCCCGGAAAUAAGCGCCACAACACACAGAGGUCAGGGGUUCCUAUUCGCAAGGAAAGCACGCUCAGGAGCACAGCCUGAAAAAAAGGGGGGGAAACAGUUUUUGCCGAUAAUUCAUUUUUAACUUUCAGGAAAGGGUUUGUCGGGUGCCGGUGAGAAAUAAAGAAGAUACAGACUCGGUACCUGUUCGUGCUCAAAGCAUACCUGCGACACGAUCCAGCCAAACAACUCUAAUAAAUGCCUCACUUGUUUCAACAGCAGAACUGUAAACGCUCGCUUGCUUCUUUUGCCCGGCAAAAUCCAUGGGUGUUAGCGGCUCGUUUGGCGCAGGAUCUUGCACUUAGGAUAAGAUCCUUCCCAGUUGUCAUUUACCGGAAGUAGAUCCCACCCGUCUCUCUCCCCACCCCCCACCACGCAAAUGGGGCUUGCUUAACUGCGCAGAGGAUCACGGUGGGGGAGGAGGGCGAGGGAAUCCCACCAAACUCUCUGGUAAGCGCAGGCGACGGACCAACUACAGAAAAUGUCCUCAGUGGGUUGUGAAAGAAAAAUGAAGCAAUUUAGACAACAGCAGCCACACACACACACACACACACACACACACACACACACACAAUCUCCCAAGGAUGCUAAACUUGGUUUUGAAACCCAAGCAGGGAGAAUCACCUGCAACCAUAUCAAACAUGACAGGAACUGAAUUAAUGCAUCUGCUUUCUACUUCAUUUCAUCCAUGAACUGAAUGGAGUGGGGAGGUGGACGGAGAAGAGGAAAAUUGGACCCCUGAUCUGAUAACAUUUGGAGUUUAAGCUCACCAGUGGAAGUUUGAACCAACAUCUACGCCUUUACGCUCCAUGGAUAUAAAGGAACCCAAAAGUUCACUUUUCACGUCUUAAAAUAAUUUGCCAUUCCCACCCCCUUGAUUAUUUUUUAAAAUACAAAAAAUAAGCUCCUUUUUUCCUCUUUCGUGAUUGGUAUACAAAAUUAAAUGUUAUGCUCCAUGUUUUUGGAACGUUCGUGCUUUCCCCAAUAUUACAUUACACACACACACACACCCCGCACAAAUACACAAACACAUAUAUAUAUUUCCCCUUCGUGUGUGAGUGUGUGUGUAGAGAUCAACGAACCUAAAUCUAACAAGCCCAAUCUAAUCGGCCCAGGAAUUGUAUUCUCUUGCUGCAGGUUAAGCUUGCAAUCCAAUACUGCACCCACUUGCCUGAGGGUAAGCCCCAUUGAACUCAGUGCGGCUUGCUUUGAGUAGACCCGUAGAGGAGUGAUCUUCGUGCGUGUAUAUGCUUUGGAGCUGCCCCCGCCCCCCAACUUGGUGAAUUUUAAACAAGCAUUGUAUUAUGCAUAGAAUAUAUGCGGAUUUAUUUGUAGAUUCCUCGUAUCCCGCACGUACAUCUGCGUCCGUGUGCACGACGGACACAACGCGCACCAUGUUUAAAUACGAAGUGGGGGCUAGCCUGGAAAUGAAGGGAGAGAGUUUGCUUUAAGCCUCAGGUCGAUUCCGGUUAUCAGGGCAGUGGGAUGGAGUUUAAAUGGGGGGGGGAGUUAUGGAGACAUGGAUCUCCCCCCCCCAACCCCAGCGAAUAUACAAAGUUCAGUUUCCAGCCAUUUUCUAUAUUAAGCUUCCCUUAAUCCCCCAACAAGCUGGAACAUCCCACUUUGCCCCCCCCCCUUUUCCCAAGUGCAUUUUGAUCUAAUAAUUUCCUUGCUAUUCCUUUCUCUCUCUCUCUCUCUCUCCCCUUCUGCAACCUUCUGGGACUGGUUAUCUUUUAAAUAACUUAUCUUGUCGACUUCCUUCCCCGAUCCCCUCUCCAUUCCCCGCCCCCCGCCGCAAUUCUCCUAGUAAAGACUGAAAAAGAGAAAGGGGGGGGGGGAGAGAGAGAAUUGGCACAGAUUUAUUUUCACUUGCUUCGCUUAUGCCUUUAACCCCUGUAUUUUCCAGGCGGGAUAAGUGCUCCGAGGCGGGGGGCGGGGGGGACGACGACGGGACGACGACACACUCUUCCUAUCGGGAAGCUGAGACCCCCAUUUCCCCCAAAAAGGUUUGCAAUGGAUUUCUCAGUCCUCUUUCACAGCGAAGAAUAAUUACAUUCAGAUAAAACAUCCAGGCUGAAAAUCAAGACCACUCUACAUCUGUGUGAGUGAGGGAGGGGGUGAAAAACACGGCAGGAAAAGAGGGAAAGAUAAAUAUUAUAGAUGGGAAAUCCUGCUUGGGUUUCAAAGCAAAAUUUAGCAUCCUUGGAUAGAUCCAUAAUCACGCCUUUAUAAGAUCCUAACAUCGUUUCCAGGUUUUGUUAUGUUUUAGUUGUGUGGAAAUAAACAGCAGCAGCUAAGGGUGUGCGAAUUAAUGAAGGAGAAGGAGCGAUCGCGAGGGAAAUGGAAACACACGCCAAUAUUCCCUUCGCAAUGAGAAGAAAAUGAACGUGAAGACGCGUGUGUGUGAAAUUAUGAGUAGGACGCAUUAAUUUGAAAGGAGGAAAUCCACGGCUGGAUGAAUGAGGGAAAGAGGUGUUUUUUAAAUAUAUAUAUUUUUAUCAUUCUUUCAAAGGAAGAGAUGGGGAACGGAGUGAAAUGGAUCCCUAAAACGUUACGGAAGGAGAUGCGUAACAAGCAAAACGAGUAUUUACUAUUAUUUUCCCACAGGCAAUUAAAAACGCUGCUUGAACUUUGGGAGAAAGCUGCUCUGGCUAAACAUCUGCCCACCCCCAGCAGGUCCCUGUCCUGUCCUCCCCCCCCCCGUUUUCUCCCCCUCCCCCCCACCAUGCGCCCCCUUUCAUCUCGACCCAUCUCCUCUCUCCAUCCCUCGUCUAUUUUUAGCCACGCAGACUCCGGCCCUGGCGCCAGGCCGUUUAAGACCUGUCAAAGUCCUUCAUAUUUCCCUCAUGUCACAUGGCGGACCUUCCCGGGCCCCCCUCCUAGUCUGCCCCUCCUUAUCCCUCCCCCCCAAUUUCUGCCUGCAACUACACACACACACACACGCAGGCAGCCAGGCAGCCAUUGGGGACCUUGGCGCUUUUGCAAAAGGGUUGCCGGGUCCUCAAUUUGCUCUUCUCCGCGGCUCCCUCGUCUCUCUGACCUCAGCCAGCGGGACUGCUGGUAUUCUGUCCGGGCCACUUAGCCAAAUUGCGGGUGAUUGAUGAAAAUAACAUUUCUCACAAGAAUCAAUGCCCCUCCCUGCCUCCUAACCCACCCCGGCCCCCCUUCUCCAGGCACCAUAGGAAAUGAAUGGAAAAUUGUCCCCAGGAACAGAUCAACCGGGAAAGCAAAAUAUCGUCAGACCUCCAAGUUAACACAACCACAAAACUCUAGGCUGGGGGGCGGGCGGGUGUAGUUUGAGGAGGAUCAUAGGGACCAGCGCCUCGCUGCUGAAGUUGUUCACUGGAGUUCUUGGAACGCCAUUGCAUCUGGCGCAACCUUCUGCGCAUCGCGAUCCUCCGCAUGUUUCCUCGAGGGUAAGCCUCGCUGAGUUCAGAUGGGCUUAUUCCCGGGGGAAGCUGCAGCCCUAACCCCACCUGCGUGGGAGUAAGCCCCGCUGAAGAUAAUAGGACCGGCCUUUGGAGGAGACAUUAUUAGGAUCGCGCUCCCAGCGCGCAUUGGAUUGUCACCGAGCCAGGCAGAGUUGCCUGCUUUUAAUAAGAAAUAAGUCCUACCGCGUUCAAGGUGCUUGCCAUUCCUGUUAUGUUUUCAGAAUAAACAGUUAAACAAGAUCUCGAUGCAUUACCUUAGACACUGGGAGAGGAGGGCGUUGCAAAACUACCCCCAGCAACCCCCCUCCGGUUCCCACUUUAGUUUGUGGUCAUUUUUUUUUUAAUGCUGUCUAUUGUAUGUAUAUUCUCAAUUCUUACGUGUGUGUUUUAAGGAAAGGGUCAAAGUUUGUUCUAAGGAAAAAGCACAGUCUUGUUUAGAAAAAUAAAAUGUUUUUAAAAAUGA